rnacentral:rRNA from 1 species
CAGUAGCGUAUAUUAAAGUUGUUGCGGUUAAAAAGCUCGUAGUUGGAUUUCUGUCGGUGAGAGGCGGUCAGCCCUAGUGGUUUGCACACGUCGCACCAUCGGCAUCUCUGUGGGGAACGUGUCUGCACUUCAGUGUGUGGCGUGUGAUCCAGGACAUUUACUUUGAGGAAAUUGGAGUGUUCACGGCAGGCAUUCGCCUUGUACACAUUAGCAUGGAAUAAUAAUAUAGGAUCACGACCCUAUUUUGUUGGUUUCUAGAGUUGUGAUAAUGAUUAAUAGGGACAAUUGGGGGCAUUUGUAUUAACACGUCAGAGGUGGAAUUCUUGGAUUGUGUUACGACAAACUACUGCGAAAGCAUUUGCCAAGGAUGUUUUCAUUGAUCAAGAACGAAAGUAAGGGAUCGAAGACGAUCAGAUACCGU